rnacentral:rRNA from 1 species
AUCGAACGCUGGCGGCUGGCCUAACACAUGCAAGUCGAGCGGAGCGGCGAACGGGUGAGUAAUGCCUGGGAAUCUGCCUGGUAGUAGGCGAUCACGCCCGGAAACGGGCGCCAAUACCGCAUGCGUUCAGGUCAGCUUAGGUCGGAUCUGCUAGUUGGUGGCGCAAAGCCCUACCAAGGCGACGAUCCGUAACUGAUCUGAGAGGAUGAUCAGUCACACUGGAACUGAGAAACGGUCCAGACUCCUGCGGGAGGCAGCAGUAGGGAAUAUUGGACAAUGGACGAAAGCCUGAUCCAGCCAUGCCGCGUGAGUGAAGAAGGUCUUCGGAUUGUAAACCACUUUACGUUGAGAAGCGUUAUCAACAGAGAACGCACCGGCUAACUGCGUGCCAGCAGCCGCGGUAAUUC